UGGUAUCUUCAUUUUAUGAGAUAUGACCCGGCUAAAGCCAUGAAAAAAAUAAAAUGUCCGGUACUUGCCUUAAACGGAGAAAAGGACAUUCAAGUGGAGGCGGCUAUGAACCUUACGGCUAUCCAACAAAGAAUCAGCGAGAACGGGAAUAAGAAUGUAACGGUAAAAGCCUACCCGAACUUAAAUCAUCUGUUUCAAACCUGUGAAAAAGGAACAUUGGCGGAGUAUGGGCAGCUAGAAGAAACCAUUAGCCCGGAAGUUCUAAAAGAUAUAACAGACUGGAUUCUUAAACAUUCAGGAAAGAGCAAUUGAAAAGGCAAUCUCUAUUAAUAAAAAAAACCGCAAUAAUAUUAUUAUAAACACAAUUAUUAAAAUCCAUAGUCUUACAUACGCAGCAUUGUAUAAAUUGACUUAAAUCAAAAUAUUUCACACCGAACUCACUCUGCCCGAUUUUGUUUUACCUUUGCACCCGCAAAAAAGAAAAAGGUAAAAAGUUACAGGUAUCAGGUUAAGUUUGGUAUGAAAAAGAGUCUUAUCGCAUUGGCGUUCGGCACCCUGGGAUUAGGUAUUGCCGAAUUUGUAAUGAUGGGUAUUUUGCCCGAUGUGGCAAAAGAUUUAGGGAUCAGUAUCCCUAUGGCGGGACAUUUCAUUUCCGCUUAUGCAUUAGGCGUCUGUGUGGGUGCCCCCGUGUUGACAUUAGCCCGCAAAUAUCCGUUGAAACAUAUUCUGCUGGUAUUAGUUACCCUGAUUAUGAUAGGUAAUAUCUGUGCUGCAACAGCUCCCAAUUAUUGGAUAUUGCUUGCUGCGCGCUUCAUCUCCGGACUACCGCACGGAGCAUAUUUCGGCGUCGGCUCCAUUGUUGCCGAAAGACUGGCUGAUAAAGGGAAAGGUUCGGAAGCCGUUUCGAUUAUGAUUGCCGGAAUGACCAUUGCCAACCUAUUCGGUGUCCCAUUGGGAACUUCUCUCAGCACCAUGCUUUCCUGGCGUGCCACUUUCCUGUUGGUCGGCAUCUGGGGAAUCGUUAUCCUGUAUUACAUCUGGCGCUGGGUACCUCACGUAGAAGGCUUGAAGGAUACCGGCUUUAAAGGACAAUUCCAUUUCUUGAAGACUCCGGCUCCCUGGCUCAUUCUCGGUGCUACGGCGUUAGGCAACGGUGGCGUAUUCUGUUGGUACAGCUAUAUCAACCCUAUGCUGACGAAUAUUUCCGGUUUCUCCACCGAAAGUAUUACUCCGCUGAUGAUUCUUGCCGGAUUCGGUAUGGUCAUGGGAAAUCUUAUCAGCGGGCGCCUCUCCGACCGCUAUACACCCGGAAAAGUGGGAACUGCCGCACAAGCAUUAAUAUGCCUUAUGCUACUUCUCAUUUUCUUCCUUUCUCCCUACAAAUGGACGGCUGCUAUACUGAUGUGCCUUUGCACGGCAGGGUUGUUUGCCGUAUCCAGCCCCGAACAAAUACUGAUUAUCCGUGUGGCAAAAGGCGGCGAGAUGUUGGGGGCUGCCUGCGUACAGGUCGCAUUCAAUCUGGGAAAUGCCAUUGGCGCUUAUGCAGGGGGAUUGACUGUUAGUGAAGGCUAUCGUUACCCCGCCCUCACAGGUGUUCCUUUCGCACUGACCGGAUUCAUCCUGUUUCUGAUUUUUUAUAAGAAAUAUCAGGCCAGAUACUAAAGGAGGUAACUAAUUCAAAGUUAGCACAUAUUUACUCCUCAUAGUUAAUAAAGUCAUGCAUAACGAGUACUAAUUAAUAAUAUCCGAACAACUAAAUCUUAGAGAGAUUAAGAUUAAUUUAUUUCGCUCGCGUCUUGUAUCAACUCAUACCAUACAUAUUAGAAUUUAUCACAAUUGUAUUUUCUUCCCCUUUUACUUGAAAAUCAAUAAUUUAUUUUUAUCUUUGUGAGAAGUGUGAGUCUUUCGUUUCUAAUCACCUUCAAAAACGACGAAUAUGAAACAACAGUAUCUGUUCGACUGCUUCUCGCAGCAAGCGUUGCAAACCCUGCAUCGCUACCGUGCUGUUAUGUUUAGUCCUACCCUCCGUACUAUGUAAAUUGCAAUUUGAGAUUCUUUUUUCACAUUUUCUCCAUUUACAUAAUUCAGAUUCUUAUGGCCUUAACGCUGAAUUUGGGUACACAAUGUGUAGGAUAGGCCGGAGGCUUUGAAGCGGGCACGCCAGUGUUCGUGGAGCCGACGUUGAAAUACGGCCCUUUGUGUAUUUGAGUUCUAACCCUGCGAAGGGGACACCGUUUGGUGGGUAGUUUGACUGGGGUGGUCGCCUCCAAAAGCGUAACGGAGGCUUCCCAAGGUACCCUCAGCACGAAUGGUAACCGUGCGCGGAGUGCAAUAGCAUAAGGGUGCUUGACUGUGAGACAUACAAGUCGACCAGGUACGAAAGUAGGGUAUAGUGAUCCGGUGGUUCUGCGUGGACUGGCCAUCGCUCAAAGGAUAAAAGGUACUCCGGGGAUAACAGGCUGAUCGCCGCCAAGAGCUCAUAUCGACGCGGCGGUUUGGCACCUCGAUGUCGGCUCGUCACAUCCUGGGGCUGGAGAAGGUCCCAAGGGUUCGGCUGUUCGCCGAUUAAAGUGGCACGCGAGCUGGGUUCAGAACGUCGUGAGACAGUUCGGUCUCUAUCUGUUGCGGGCGUAGGAAGAUUGAGGGGUCCUGACUUUAGUACGAGAGGACCGAGUUGGACGAACCUCCGGUGUAUCGGUUAUGCUGCCAAGUGUACUGCCGAGUAGCCGCGUUCGGUCUGGAUAAGCGCUGAAAGCAUCUAAGCGCGAAGCCAUCCCCAAGAUAAGUCUUCCCUUGAGGGGCGUAGGAGACUACUACGUUGAUAGGCUGCAGGUGUAAAGACAGCAAUGUCAAAGCCGAGCAGUACUAAUUACCCGAUAGGCUUUCUU
rnacentral:rRNA from 1 species